rnacentral:tRNA from 1 species
UGGGGUGUAGCUCAGUGGUACAGCAUGUGCCUUAUAUGCACAGAGCCAUGGCUUGAAUCCCUAGCAUUGCUU